rnacentral:rRNA from 1 species
ACGGGAGGCAGCAGUGGGGGAUAUUGCACAAUGGGCGAAAGCCUGAUGCAGCAACGCCGCGUGAGGGAAGACGGUUUUCGGAUUGUAAACCUCUGUCUUUGGUGACGAAGGAAUGACGGUAGCCAAGGAGGAAGCCACGGCUAACUACGUGCCAGCAGCCGCGGUAAUACGUAGGUGGCAAGCGUUGUCCGGAAUUACUGGGUGUAAAGGGAGCGCAGGCGGGAAGGCAAGUCAGCGGUGAAAUACAUGGGCUUAACCCAUGAACUGCCGUUGAAACUGUUUUUCUUGAGUGGAGUAGAGGCAGGCGGAAUUCCGAGUGUAGCGGUGAAAUGCGUAGAUAUUCGGAGGAACACCAGUGGCGAAGGCGGCCUGCUGGGCUCUAACUGACGCUGAGGCUCGAAAGUGUGGGGAGCAAACAGGAUUAGAUACCCUGGUA